UACGUAGGGUGCAAGCGUUAAUCGGAAUUACUGGGCGUAAAGCGUGCGCAGGCGGUGAUGUAAGACAGUUGUGAAAUCCCCGGGCUCAACCUGGGAACUGCAUCUGUGACUGCAUCGCUGGAGUACGGUAGAGGGGAUGGAAUUCCGCGUGUAGCAGUGAAAUGCGUAGAUAUGCGGAGGAACACCGAUGGCGAAGGCAAUCCCCUGGACCUGUACUGACGCUCAUGCACGAAAGCGUGGGGAGCAAACAGG
rnacentral:rRNA from 1 species